ensembl:lncRNA
GUGAGGCGGGGUCCCUGCCACCUGCAGGACCACAGACUCCUUUCCUUUUUAGCUUGGAGGAAAUCCCGUCUCUUUUCUUGAUUCCUUCAGAGACACUACCUCUCUCCUGUUGCUAUAAAACACUGAGCAUAACUGGGCUUUCAGCUUUUGAAAAUCUGACUAUCUCAAAAAAAUUUCCACUAUCCAUUUAUAUAUUCCUCCACACCAGAGAGCACAUCCCAUGUCAGGCUGUGUGCUGGGAGGCCCCUGCCCAGGAGGGGCUUCCUGCGCAGCCACGAAGAUGCACUAGCUGGCUGCAAGCAUGACACUGCAAGGUUCUUGGGCAUACUGUCCACAGGCCAAGGGCCACCCAGUGGACUGAGGUGGCUUGACAAGUAUCAGAAGAGGAUAUGAUCUGCCGAUGUCACGUCCUGGCCUUUCCUCAAUGUCACAGCAGCAAAAUCCUGCCAUAGGACUUCUGUGGUUGUCGUUGUUUGCAUUCCCCCUGCCUUUGGAUGGGAGAACCAUGCUAGAAUAUUCGGGGCCCAGUUUGCAGAGCAUGGAAGGACCAAGGUGCUGAAACAUAGACUACGGGCAGGUGAAAUGGAGACUCUGCUUUGUGCUGAAAACUACCCUUGGCACACACACAAAAAACAAGAUAAGUCUUUAAUAUGAGAAAGCAGCCAAGGAGAAUGACAUGGGAACAAAAUGGAAAUUACAAAGUAAGUGGUAGAAAAACAAAAGAAAACAAAAUCUGGAAUGCGACCUUAACCUAAUGACCCUCACUGGAAGAAAGUCAGAAGGAAACGGCGUGUUUCGGUGGACGUGGAGAAUUCAGGGGAUCUCUAAAAUAGGUACUCUCCUAUAUAGAGCAGUUCAACAUUUUGAUAUUUAAAAGAAAGAAUAGUAGAAAUAUUUAAAAGAAAUGCAUAUCCAUUAAACCCAGUAGUUCUGGAAGAUUAUAUCAGAACAUGAACAUUAUUUUGUCUUUUAAAAAUAUUUUUUAUAUCAAAAAAUCUUAGGAUAACAUAUAAAAUCAAAUGGGAAUAUAUGAGAAGUAGUUCAAGGUAGUUAUAAAAAAGAUAUUACAUAAAACUGAGUAUUGUUACUACAGCUAUGAAUUUAUAUUCCUAGAAGUUUAAGGUGCUUAGCAGACCAUAGGCUUUAUGCUGUCCAACUUUCCCAUCACUCACUGGAAUUUCUCUUAUAUUUAUGUUCUAUCUUGGCUCUUACAUACUGGCAGUGUAACCUUGAACAUCUAACUUCAUUUUCCAUAACCCUUGUUUCUGCAUUUGUGGAGAGGAAAAUUGCUUCCUCACAUGGCUUUUGGGAGGAUUGGAUAAAACCACGUUGGGUUCUUUGAGCAUCAGAUCCCAUCUUCCCCACAGACGUAACCCUAAACCUUCCCACCCAGGCAGCGUUUGAUGGGGCCGGAAAAGGGCACUCAAUCCAAGAGGGACCAUAAGUCCCUUCCCUGAGAAUCUGGGACAGGAAUGAAGAGAAGCAUUUAGUCUCUCUCUCCUUUUCUAUUGCUGUAUCAUGUAAACUUGGAAAAUGCUAUCGACAACUGUUUUCUACCAUAGGGACUGGGAGCCAGAGACAUUUCAUUUGCAGUGUGAAGGGAGAGAGACGCAGAUACUCAGAGGGAGUCGGAGGCGAGAGGCAGAAAGGUGUAUCAGUUUCCCAGGGCAGCCGUGACAACGUGUCUUAGACUGCGAUGGCGUAAAACAAGAGAAGUUUAUUCUGUCACAGUUCCGGAGGCUAGUGGCUCAAAAUCCUGGCAGGGGCGUGCUCCCUCUGCGGGGUCCAGGGAGGGUCUGUCCAUGCCUUCCUCUCAGCGUCUACUGUUGCCCGCAGUCCUUGGUGUUCCUUGGUUUGUAAACACGUCACUGCGGUCUCCACCUCCAUCUUCACGUGGCGUUCUUCCCUCUGUGUCUGUCUGCGUCUCUCUCCUUUUCUUGUAAGGACAUCAGUCAUACUAGAUUAGGGCCCAGACUACUCCAGUAUGACAUCAUCUUAACUUGGUUACAUCUGCAAAGACCUUAUUUCCAAAUAAGAUCCUGUUCAUGGGUACCAGGGCUUAGGACUUCAACGUAUCUUUUGGGGGACACAAGUCAACCCCAACAGAAAGUGUUCUUGGAUUCUCUACUCCUCACCAGGCCCUGGCUCCAUCUCGAAGGCCCAGCUGUAUCCUGGCCUUUGCGUCCCUCGUGGUCCUCCAGUAAUAAAGUCCAUUGUUACGUGAGUUAGAGCUGAUUUGUGCUACUUAUUGUCAAGAGAGUCCUAAUUAAUGUGCUAGGCCUGGGCCAGCCCCGGUAUUGUUUCCUCUUAUCACAUGGAGACACACUGCAGCUUUUACAAUUUUUUUGCUAAAUGCCGAAGGGGCAGAGAGAGGACAAAUGUAAAAACAAUGCAACUAAUAAAUUGCGGGUUUCUAACCCAAUUCCCAUCCACUUUGAUCGGGCUUAUAUGCCCGUUCCACUGCACCUAAUCUCUAACGACAGCAUCUUCCAAACCCCACAUAGUGUUUCAUGAAAAAAUUCACCCCAAAGAUAGCUAUAUUUUAAAAUUUAUUUUUAUAAAACAUUACAGAUGAGGAAACUGAGACCUGGAUAGAUUAUCAACCUAUCCCAGGGUCCACAAUUCAACCCAGCAAACCCGAGACCAAAAACACAUUCUCUUCAUCCUGAUCACCACACCUCCUGAUUAAAUUCUGACGAUCAUACUCAACAUUAAGACAAAAUACUGAUGUGUUAUUUUAGAACAUCUACUGAAGAAAUCGUCUACAGACAGCCUCCUAUAUUAUAUACCAGGCACUAAACUCAGUGUUCCAGAGACGGGGACCACCACCAGCACUCUGCAAAGUACAUGCAUUAAAAUCAUUAUUGUCUUCAGAAAAGCAGAAAGCAGACUGUAAUUCAAUCAAGGGCCUACAUAGCCGGCUCUAUGCAAGAAACCAGCAAGAUCCUCACUCCCUAAUUCCAUGUUUCUAAGUGUUUUUCACCAGACCAUAUUUCCACUGAAUAUGCAAAUUUUAUUUUUGUGCCUCCAUUUGUUCUAAUCUGUGUUUUCUGAAAUAAACAUUUUAGUUAAAAAAACAUAUUAUGCAACAAAUGUGAAAAAGAAAUGAAGGGGGACUGUUUUAGAUUUAAAAAGACUUAAGAGACAGAACAAAAGAACAUGUGUGGGAUUUGUUUAGAUUCCGAUUCCAGCAAAACAAAUGUAGAAAGCAUUUUUGAGACAACCAGGGAAUUUUUACUAUGGGCUGAGGAUUAUGAUUCCAAGAAUUAUUGUUAAUUUUGUUAGGUGUGAUAAAUGGCCUCGUGAUUUUUUAAGAAAAUGUCCAUAAGUUUUAUAGAUCCAUUAGGAAGUAUGUAGGAGUAAAAUGACUAUGAAAUCUGUAUGUGCUUUAAAAUAUUAUAGUAAAGAGGGGAAAGAGAGAGCAAAUGUGACAAAGUCUUGAUGAUAACUUAAUCUAGGUUUUAUGGGAAUUUAUUCUACUACUCUUUCUACUUUUGUUUGAAAUUUUUCAAGGUAAAUCUAGAAAAUAUGUGUAGUACGAUACCAAUAGUAGUUACUACGUGACAACCUGUCUUUAUCAUGUGAUAAUAACAUAAACUCAAACAUGUGUUUUGCAUCAGACAAUUUCUCCAGUGAGUUGCUGGUGCUCUUGGGCAUGGCAGCGUAUUUUUUAUUCGAUAAAGUCUUUAAAGCAAAUCCAAGACACCAUGUCAUUUCACCCAGCCAUCCUUUGGGAUGGCUUGUUCAAAUCAGGAAAGAAAUGAAAAAUCACUACUGUUUUAUGAAGGUUUCACCCUGGUGCUGGCAGUUGGGGGUGGACAGUAAGUCAAGAAACUAAUAUAAACGUACCAGCUGGUGGUAGGUGCUAACAAGAAAAAUAAAGCAGGGUGAGGGAGCAGAGAAUGAUACAGUGGGCUGAAGUUUUACAUUGGGGUGGUCCGGGCACCCUUUCCUGUUGGGAUGUCAGAGCAGAGACCUGAACGAGCUGAGGAACAGGCCAUAUGGUCGCGUAGGGGAGGGUGCUCCAGACAGAGGGAACGGCACGUGCCCCUGAGUUUAGAGAGAGUGGCUGGGGGAGAGUAUUAGGUGAUGAGGUCAGAACGGUGCCCGGACCAGAUCAUGCAGGCCUGUGUUGGGGGUCCCCAACACCACCCCCGGGUUCGGUGAUUUGUAGGAUGCCUCACAGACUCAGCAUAUAGUCAUAGUCAUGGCCACGAUUUAUUACAGCAAAAGCAUCCAAAGCAAAGUCAGCAGAGACAAAGGGUGCAUGGGGCAAAGUUAGGGAAACCAGGUGUGAGCUUCCAGAGUCACACAGGACACGCUGGAUUCCCCCAGCACCGUGUGGUGACAACAUGCGUGAAGCGUUGUAACAGCACGAGUGAAGCGUUGUCUCCCAGGGAAACUCAUUAUAGACUCAGGGUCCAGAGU